CGAGCUGUUGUGAAUCCUGCCCACUUCUUUGCAUGGUCAGCACAUGCUUCAGUGCUCUGAGAGUGUUUAUAGAGCUGUGAGUUUAACACUUCAUGACUGAGAGCAGAACAGAACACAAUCUUCAUCAUCACACAAGACACAACAACAACAAUGAACAACAUCAUCAUCCUCAUCUGGACCAUUGCAGCUUUUAUUCAAGCCUCCAGAGGAGUCACUUUGACUCAACCUGAAGUUAAAACUGUCCAGCUCGGUCAAACAGCUACAAUAGAGUGUAACAUAGAUGUAGGGAUACGUAGCAGCUACUUAGCCUGGUAUCAGCAGAAACCUGGAGAAGCUCCUAAACUCCUCAUUUAUCAAAUAAACAGCCUCCAGUCAGGAACUCCAUCUAGAUUCAGUGGCAGUGGAACAGCGAGUACUGGAAAAGAUUUCUCUCUGACCAUCAGUGGAGUCCAGACUGAAGAUACAGGAGAUUAUUACUGUCAGAGUUACCACAGUGGUCCAGUGUUCACACAGUGAUAAAGAGUCGUACAAAAACCU